rnacentral:rRNA from 1 species
GCAGUCGACGAACCUUCGGGUUAGUGGCAGGACGGGUGAGUAACGCGUGAAAACUGCCCUCAGGAGGGGGAUAACAGUUGGAAACGACUGCUAAUACCCCAUAUGCCGAGAGGUGAAACGAAUUUUGCCUGGGGAUGAGCUCGCGUCUGAUUAGCUUGUUGGUGGGGUAAAAGCCUACCAAGGCUUCGAUCAGUAGCUGGUCUGAGAGGACGAUCAGCCACACUGGGACUGAGAUACGGCCCAGACUCCUACGGGAGGCAGCAGUGGGGAAUUUUCCGCAAUGGGCGCAAGCCUGACGGAGCAACGCCGCGUGAGGGAUGAAGGCCUUUGGGCUGUAAACCUCUUUUCUCAAGGAAGAAGAUCUGACGGUACUUGAGGAAUAAGCCACGGCUAAUUCCGUGCCAGCAGCCGCGGUAAUACGGGAGUGGCAAGCGUUAUCCGGAAUUAUUGGGCGUAAAGCGUCCGCAGGCGGCCGUUUAAGUCUGUUGUUAAAUCGUAGGAGCUCAACUCCAUCAGCGGCAAUGGAAACUGUUCGGCUUGAGUAUGGUAGGGGCAGAGGGAAUUUCCGGUGUAGCGGUGAAAUGCGUAGAUAUCGGGAAGAACACCAGUGGCAAAAGCGCUCUGCUGGGCCAUUACUGACGCUCAUGGACGAAAGCCAGGGGAGCGAAAGGGAUUAGAUACCCCUGUAGUCCUGGCCGUAAACGAUGAACACUAGAUGUUGGGGGAAUCGACCCCUCCGGUGUCGUAGCUAACGCGUUAAGUGUUCCGCCUGGGGAGUACGCACGCAAGUGUGAUACUCAAAGGAAUU